GACGAACGCUGGCGGCGUGCUUAACACAUGCAAGUCGAGCGGUAAGGCCCUUUCGGGGGUACGACGAGCGGCGAACGGGUGAGUAACACGUGGGUGACCUGCCCUUAGCUCUGGGAUAAGCCUGGGAAACUGGGUCUAAUACCGGAUAUGACUCCAUGACGCAUGUUGUGGGGUGGAAAGCCUUGUGCGGCUAGGGAUGGGCCCGCGGCCUAUCAGCUUGUUGGUGGGGUGAUGGCCUACCAAGGCGACGACGGGUAGCCGGCCUGAGAGGGUGACCGGCCACACUGGGACUGAGGACACGGCCCAGACUCCUACGGGAGGCAGCAGUGGGGAAUCUUGCGCAAUGGGCGAAAGCCUGACGCAGCGACGCCGCGUGA
rnacentral:rRNA from 1 species